UCCCAGGUGGCUCUGUGGGUAGAGAGUCUGCCUGCAAUGCAGGAAGCGUAGGUUCAAUCCCUGGGUUGGGAA
rnacentral:tRNA from 1 species